UACGUAGGGGGCCAGCGUUGUCCGGAAUCAUUGGGCGUAAAGCGCGCGUAGGCGGCCCGGUAAGUCCGCUGUGAAAGGCGGGGGCUCAACCCUCGGAUGCCGGUGGAUACUGUCGGGCUUGAGUGCGGAAGAGGCGAGUGGAAUUCCUGGUGUAGCGGUGAAAUGCGCAGAUAUCAGGAGGAACACCAAUUGCGAAGGCAGCUCGCUGGGACGUUACUGACGCUGAUGCGCGAAAGCGUGGGGAGCAAACAGG
rnacentral:rRNA from 1 species